rnacentral:rRNA from 1 species
GCAGCGCCGGCAGCCGCUUCUUAGAGGGACCAGCGACACUUUCGCAAGCCGCACGAGAAAGAGCAAUAACAGGUCUGUGAUGCCCCUUAGAUGUACGGGGCUGCACGCGUGCUACACUGACGGCGUACAGCGUGCGUUCAAGCCCGGCCUGGCAAGGCCAGGAAAUCGGUUGAAACGUUCUCGUGACUGGGACAG